rnacentral:rRNA from 1 species
UAGGGAAUUUUCGUUCAAUGGGCGGCAAGCCUGAACGAGCAAUGCCGCGUGAACGAGGAAGGUCUUCGGAUCGUAAAGUUCUGUUGAAGGGGAAAAAAGAGCGGAGAGAGGAAAUGGUCUCCGAUUGAUAUUACCCUUCGAGGAAGUCACGGCUAACUACGUGCC